UGUCAGUGAGAUUACCCUUUUCUCAGUCUAUCUUAUGAGUUUGUUUUCUCUUAGUCCUGCUACUGAUUUUGUUUUCAGGGUGGACUUGGUUGUCACUGUCUGCAGUGAGGAAGAGGUAUUCAGCAGUGUCCAUCCCAGAGGAUGAACAGAAGGAAAUCAUGGAACUACCCAUGGCUUUCUCAUCUCUCAGGAGACUCCACCAGGGAAUGAUCUGUCUCACAGACUUGAACCCUUGCAGUUUUCCCUGGUAUCCUGAAGAAGCAGCAUCUGCAGCAGUAAAUAAGAAAAGAUCAAAGAGGCACUCCUAGUAAUUUAUCCAGAUUAAAGAGUGGAACAACAACUGACCCUUUGUUAGACAUCAAAGCACGCUUCUGGGAGGACAGCUGGAAGACACAAGCCUGCAGAUUUACCAUCUCCUUUUGAUGUGCUGCUCAUAAGAUGGCAUAUUAUUCUUCCCUGCGCGCACAAAGACAAAGGUGGAAAUCACAGGUAGAUCUCACAUUACUGCAGUUUUGUAACCUGAGUCAUUUUUAUAAGGUCAUGACAAUAAUCUCAGCUUGUUAGGAUGGCAUCUUGGAAGAAUUAGGGCUGCUUUUUAGGUCUAGAUAAUUCUGUUAUUAUUUCUAUUUUAUGAUAUUUUUUUUCUUUUUGUAACAAGAAAUUACCCUGAAAAUCUAUCAUCCUGUAUUUAUAUCAUAGGACAGCCUGGGUUGAA